CCUACGGGAGGCAGCAGUGGGGAAUAUUGCACAAUGGGGGAAACCCUGAUGCAGCGACGCCGCGUGAGUGAAGAAGUAUUUCGGUAUGUAAAGCUCUAUCUGCAGGGAAGAAGCAAGCCGGUACCUGACUAAGAAGCCCCGCCUAACUACGUACAAGCAGCCGCGGUAAUACGUAGGGGGCACGCGUUCUCCGGAGUUACUGGGUGUAAAGGGAGCGUAGACGGUAUGGCAAGUCUGAAGUGAAAGCCCAGGGCUGAACCCUGGGACUGCUUUGGAAACUGGUAGACUAGAGUGCAGGAGAGGUAAGUGGAAUGCCGAGUGUAGCGGUGAAAUGCGUAGAUAUUAGGAGGAACACCAGUGGCGAAGGCGGCUUACUGGACAGUAACUGACGUUGAGGCUCGAAAGCGUGGGGAGCAAACAGGAUUAGAUACCCGGGUAGUC
rnacentral:rRNA from 1 species